rnacentral:lncRNA from 1 species
GUACGUAAGGCUAAAAAUUCAUUGGAUAAGUGUGCACGCUUUGGAUAUAGUAGAUGUGGCGGACCAUUCAAAACCAUACCACAUAGCAGACCCAAACAUACGUAGAGAGUCUUUUGCACGUCAAACUCUCCUCUCGACUGACGGUAGCUCUGUUUUGAUCGAAUGAUUUCUAUGACCACAUAACGAAUGAGCGAUCAAUGUGAGCGAGAUAC